UACAGAGGUCUCAAGCGUUGUUCGGAAUCACUGGGCGUAAAGGGUGCGUAGGCGGCACGGUAAGUCAGAGGUGAAAUCCCGGAGCUCAACUUCGGAAUUGCCUCCGAUACUGCCGUGCUUGAGGACUGGAGAGGAGAUUGGAAUUCACAGUGGAGCAGUGAAAUGCGUAGAUAUUCGGAGGAACACCAGUGGCGAAGGCGGCUCACUGGCCCGGUACUGACGCUGAGGUGCGAAAGCGUGGGGAGCAAACAGG
rnacentral:rRNA from 1 species